rnacentral:rRNA from 1 species
AGUGAACGCUGGCGGUAGGCCUAACACAUGCAAGUCGAACGGCAGCACAGUAAGAGCUUGCUCUUACGGGUGGCGAGUGGCGGACGGGUGAGGAAUACAUCGGAAUCUACUUUUUCGUGGGGGAUAACGUAGGGAAACUUACGCUAAUACCGCAUACGACCUACGGGUGAAAGCAGGGGAUCUUCGGACCUUGCGCGAUUGAAUUAGCCGAUGUCGGAUUAGCUAGUUGGCGGGGUAAAGGCCCACCAAGGCGACGAUCCGUAGCUGGUCUGAGAGGAUGAUCAGCCACACUGGAACUGAGACACGGUCCAGACUCCUACGGGAGGCAGCAGUGGGGAAUAUUGGACAAUGGGCGCAAGCCUGAUCCAGCCAUACCGCGUGGGUGAAGAAGGCCUUCGGGUUGUAAAGCCCUUUUGUUGGGAAAGAAAAGCAGUAGGUUAAUACCCCGCUGUUCUGACGGUACCUAAAGAAUAAGCACCGGCUAACUUCGUG